CAGCUUCCUUUUCCGGUUGCCAUCCUUGCCAUCCGCUGUCAUGCCUCUCCACCGCCACGCUUCCCCAUCAUUAUGGAGAUGGACUUGUCCUGGAACCAUAAGCCAAAUAAAGCCUUCCUUCUCCAAGUCUGCUUGAACCAAUAUUGCAACUGAAAUUUGUCGAAGGCCGAGGCAUUUGCUGAAACAGGAAAUGGAGAACAUUACAGCAGAGUGGAGCCCUUUUGUUUUCAGGUCGGAGCUGUUGUGUUUGUAAAGAAAAGGAAGCAGAGAACAGGCUGGCACUGGUAUCAUUAUUUCCCCCUUCCUGAAUAUUUCCUACCAAGCAACUGCUUUGGAAAUAACAAAAUGAUUUCACUAUGGAAAAAAUGCCGAGAAAAGAAUCCGGGGCUGUCUGAUUGGCUAAUAAUGAACAUAAAGGACGUCGUGCUUGUUGAAUGGCAGAUUGAAAUCCGGCUAGUUGGUGAGAACGUCUGUCUAGUUGGUGAGAACGUCUGUCCAUUUUUACUGAACCUGCUGACUUCCCAGAGUUCCAUUGGUGGCUUUCUGGAUUGCCUUAGGUCUUGCUUCAGGACAACGGAAUGGGAGCAAUAAAACAAAAAGAAGUUAUAUUUACAAUCUCAGACUGAUAAAAAUUUAUAGCUAAGAAGACCCACAGAGAUUAACUGGGCCUGCUUACCCUAUUCCACCGUUUGCAUUGAGGAGAGACAGAAAUCAGAGGUCAAUGGACUUUCCCAGGAUGCAAUAGUUCGUGAGUAGUUUACUAAAGAUGAAUUCUGGGCUAUGGUCAGUGUCUGGCUUCUCACAUGUUUUCCUAAAGGAUACAGGCAAUAGUCAAUCUUUUCUGUCAGGCUUCUUAUUUGUAUUGCUUUCUUUAUUAUUUAUUUAUUUGUUUGUUUGUUUGUUUUUAUUAGGUAUUUUCUUUAUAUAUGUUUCAAAUGCUAUUCCAAAAGUUCCCUAUACCCUCCCUCCACCCUGCUCCCCUACUCACCCACUCCCGCUUCUUGGCCCUGGUAUUCCCCUGUAUUGGGGCAUAUAAAGUUUGCAAUACCAAGGGGCCUCUCUUCCCAUCUUUUGCUACAUAUGCAGCUAGAGAUACGAGUUCUGGGGGCUACUGAUGUUCAUAUUGUUGUUCCACCUAUAGGGCUGCAGACCCCUUCAGCUCCUUGGGUGCUUUCUCUAGCUCCUCCAUUGGGGGCCCUGUGUUCCAUCUUAUAGCUGACUGUGAGCAUCCACUUCUGUAUUUGCCAGGCACUGGCAUAGCCUCAUAUGAGACAGCUAUAACAGGGUUCCUUCAGCAAAAUCUUUCUGGCAUUGUGCAAUAGUGUCCGGGUUUGGCGGCUGAUUAUGGGAUGGUGCCUGCAUCGGUACUGAGAAUUUAAGAGACUGUAUGUAUCAAGGCUGCAAGGCACCCUAAGCUGGCUGCCACCGAAUCAGACUCUAAAGGUCAGAAGGGGUCCUGAAGCCAUCAUGAUCUGAAGUUUAACUCUCUAUCUCUGAUGUCCUGACAAGCAAUCGCAUUAUUGGAACAUUCCUGUCUCUGUCUUUGGAUGGAGCUGACUCUGGAGAUUUGACAAAAGUUCAUCAUCCUGGAUCCUUCAUUGCAGAGUCUGAGUCCAGCUUUCUGGAGAUGCUCAGAACAACUGGAUUCCUGGCGUCUAUCAGUCCCAAUAUGUUCCCCGUGUGUGAUGGUUUGAAUAAGAGUGGCCCUCAUAGGCUCCUGAAUUUGCAUGCUUGGUCAUCAUGGAGUGGCAUUAUAUGAGAGGGAUUAGGAGGUAUGGCCUUGUUGGCAUAGGUACAGCCUUAUUGGAGAAUGGGUGUGACUGGGAGCAGGAUUUGAGAUUUCAAAAGCCCUAGCCAGGCCCAGUAUCUCUCUCUUUUUGUUGCCUGUGGAUCUGGAUGUAGAACUGGUGGCUACUUCUCCAGCACCAUGUCUGCCUGCAUGCCGCCAUGCUUCCUGCCAAGUCGCUAAUGGACUGAACCUCUGAAACUAUAAUAUUUUCCUUUACAAGAGUUGCCAUGAUCAUGGUGUCUUUUCACAGCAAUAGAACACGGACUAAAACACCAUCUUUCUUUCUUGCGUCAACAAUUCUUUCUUUAAAUUUAACAAUUUAAAUGGUAUGUGUAUUGGUGUUUUCCCUGCACGUAUACCUAUGUAUUGUGUGCAUGCCUAAUGCAAUUGCAGAUGAUUGUAAGUUGCCAUGUGGGUGCUGGCAAUGGAACACAGGCCCACUGCAAGAGCAGCCAGUGCUCUUAACGCCUGAGUCAUCUCUCUGGCCCCAUCAAUGAUUCUUCAACCAGUGUUUUCUAGCUUUUGAACCACCAGUCAUAUGCUGACAAUGAUAAUAUUUAUGUGGCACUGUUAGAUAAACUAAAGAGAAAUGAUAUCUACCUGGGACUUGGUUAAAAAAUAUCAUUAUAUUCAUGUUUAUAUAGUUAUAUAAUAUCAAAGAUGCUGAAACCCUUUAAUAGUUCCUCAUGAUGUGGUGACCCUCAACCAUAAAAUUAUUUUCAUGCUACUUUGUAACUGUAAUUUUGCUAUUUUUAUGAAUCAUAAUGUAAAUAUUUUUGGAGACAGAGGUUUGCCAAAGGGGUCACGACCCACAGGAUGAGAACCACUGCUCUAGCCCUGGUGUCUUCAGGUUCUCUAUUGUCAUCAAGAAACUGAGCUUUCAAAAAAUAUACAGUAGGUGAAAUUAUAUCUAAAGGCUAAUAGCUUUUUAUAUUCACUAACAAAUGUGAUAAGUAAAUUUCUAGUGUUGAUGAG
ensembl:processed_transcript C330024D21Rik RIKEN cDNA C330024D21 gene